CGAGCAUUGAAUGAUCUGAUCUUCAUGCCCAAUUCCUCCGAUUAUAGGGUUUCCAAGCCAUGACCGACAAGCCACCGGUGCUCAAGCCGCCGCAUUCAUCCCAAGACUGGGAUUCUCUAAUCGACGACUUCCAGCACGGCGGUGCUCGCCGCCAAAAAUGGACGGCGGCCCCUCAGUUCCUCUCCUCUUUCCUUGAUCACGCGCUCUCCUUCCUCCUUAAAAAGGACUUCCCUCUCAAAAUCCCNCUUAUAUUCAUGGAAGAGUUUUCGGAAACCUUUUUCACCGACGAGUCCCAUUUGCUCCGCCUCCA
rnacentral:misc_RNA from 1 species